UACGGAGGGUGCGAGCGUUACUCGGAAUUACUGGGCGUAAAGCGCGCGUAGGCGGUUUGUUAAGUCAGCUGUGAAAGCCCCGGGCUCAACCUGGGAACUGCAGUUGAUACUGUCCGACUAGAGUACGAGAGAGGGAGGUAGAAUUCCAUGUGUAGCGGUGAAAUGCGUAGAUAUAUGGAGGAAUACCAGUGGCGAAGGCGGCCUCCUGGCUCGAUACUGACGCUGAGGUGCGAAAGCGUGGGGAUCAAACAGG
rnacentral:rRNA from 1 species